CAGUAGGGAAUCUUCCACAAUGGGCGAAAGCCUGAUGGAGCAACGCCGCGUGUGUGAUAAAGGGUUUCGGCUCGUAAAACACUGUUGUAAGAGAAGAAUGACAUUGAGAGUAACUGUUCAAUGUGUGACGGUAUCUUACCAGAAAGGAACGGCUAAAUACGUGCCAG
rnacentral:rRNA from 1 species